GCUAAACGCCUCCGGGAGGGGGCCACGAGCCGUAAAAGGUUGGGAACGACUGCUGUGAGGAGUAAUAAUAUGACGAAAUAACACCAUCUUUUUCAUAUCCCGGAAGACAGUUGCAGACAUAGGAUCCGGGUGUGUUUAAGCAAUAUGCGUUUCGUCCACAUAAGUGUUCUCCUGUGAAGCAUUCAUUGACAUCUGUAAAAAAUGAACUCAAUUGAUUCCGAUAACUUCGUCUGAGCCUUGUAUGGAAAUUCAUUGAAUGUGAUCGAUGUCAGCCUUAACGGUGUAUCUCUUUAAGAGUGUGCAGGAGUUUUCCGUGCAUAUGGUAUGUUAGGUUCAUCAGUGUAAUACAUUACACAGUGACGAAAAAAAAUAAAAUUUCAGUUGAUAUAUCUGUAUAUAUAUAUAAUAUUCUGGAAACUUGACAACGAGUAUUCACAAUUACUGUGUUGAAAUGUUGCUGAAUCUCUUGGAUGAUAUUCAAAAUAUAGGAAAAUUCAAGUGUAGUUGCCUAUUUGCAUUAAACUCGAGCUAAGCAAUAUACGACUCGUCGAAAUAUAUUUUAUACCUUUACUUCCAAUUUAAAUUCUUCUAAGAUAACAGGCAAAGAUACCCCCACACUAACCAAGUAGAUAAAU